AUUGAACGCUGGCGGCAGGCCUAACACAUGCAAGUCGAGCGAGCGGCGGACGGGUGAGUAAUGUCUGGGAAACUGCCUGAUGGAGGGGGAUAACUACUGGAAACGGUAGCUAAUACCGCAUACCAUCAGAUGUGCCCAGAUGGUAUUAGCUGGUAGGUGGGGUAACGGCUCACCUAGGCGACGAUCCAUAGCUGGUCUGAGAGGAUGACCAGCCACACUGGAACUGAGACACGGUCCAGACUCCUACGGGAGGCAGCAGUGGGGAAUAUUGGACAAUGGGCGAAAGUCUGACGGAGCAAUGCCGCGUGUGUGAAGAAGGCCUUCGGGUUGUAAAGCACUUUCAGCGGGGAGGCGUUAUCCGAAGAAGAAGCACCGGCUAACUCCGUGCCAGCCGCCGCGGUAAUUC
rnacentral:rRNA from 1 species